rnacentral:rRNA from 1 species
AUGAACGCUGGCGGCGUGCCUCAUACAUGCAAGUCGAGCGAACGGACGAGAAGCUUGCUUUUCUGAUGUUAGCGGCGGACGGGUGAGUAACACGUGGCUAACCUACCUAUAAGACUGGGAUAACUUCGGGAAACCGGAGCUAAUACCGGAUAAUAUUUUGAACCGCAUGGUUCAAAAGUGAAAGACGGUCUUGCUGUCACUUAUAGAUGGAUCCGCGCUGCAUUAGCUAGUUGGUAAGGUAACGGCUUACCAAGGCAACGAUGCAUAGCCGACCUGAGAGGGUGAUCGGCCACACUGGAACUGAGACACGGUCCAGACUCCUACGGGAGGCAGCAGUAGGGAAUCUUCCGCAAUGGGCGAAAGCCUGACGGAGCAACGCCGCGUGAGUGAUGAAGGUCUUCGGAUCGUAAAACUCUGUUAUUAGGGAAGAACAUAUGUGUAAGUAACUGUGCACAUCUUGACGGUACCUAAUCAGAAAGCCACGGCUAACUACGUG